rnacentral:rRNA from 1 species
CGGGGUGCACCAGGCGCGAAAACUUUACAAUGCCGGCAACGGCGAUAAGGGAACCUCGAGUGCCAGGUUACAAAUCUGGCUGUCGUGAUGCCUAAAAAGCAUUGCAUAGCAAGGGCCGGGCAAGACCGGUGCCAGCCGCCGCGGUAACACCGGCGGCUCGAGUGGUAACCGUUAUUAUUGGGUCUAAAGGGUCUGUAGCCGGCCGGGUAAGUCUCUUGGGAAAUCUGGCAGCUUAACUGUCAGGCUUUCAGGAGAUACUGCCUGGCUCGAGGCCGGGAGAGGUGAGAGGUACUUCAGGGGUAGGGGUGAAAUCUUGUAAUCCUUGAAGGACCACCAGUGGCGAAGGCGUCUCACCAGAACGGACCUGACGGCAAGGGACGAAAGCUAGGGGCACGAACCGGAUUAGAUACCCGGGUAGUCCUAGCCGUAAACGAUACUCGCUAGGUGUCGGCCACGGUGCGACCGUGGUCGGUGCCGUAGGGAAGCCGUGAAGCGAGCCACCUGGGAAGUACGGCCGCAAGGCUGAAACUUAAAGGAAUUGGCGGGGGAGCACAAGGGCGAUUCGCGG